CAGCCGCCACGGUAACACGUAGGGUGCAAGCGUUAAUCGGAAUUACUGGGCGUAAAGCGUGCGCAGGCGGUUUGUUAAGACAGAUGUGAAAUCCCCGGGCUCAACCUGGGAACUGCAUUUGUGACUGGCAAGCUAGAGUGUGGCAGAGGGGGGUGGAAUUCCGCGUGUAGCAGUGAAAUGCGUAGAUAUGCGGAGGAACACCGAUGGCGAAGGCAGCCCCCUGGGCCAACACUGACGCUCAUGCACGAAAGCGUGGGGAGCAAACAGGAUUAGAGACCCCUGUAGUCCCUGUCUCUUAUAC
rnacentral:rRNA from 1 species